rnacentral:rRNA from 1 species
AGUCGAGCGAGUCUGCCUUGAGAUCGGAGUGCUUGCACUCUGUGAAACAAGAUACAGGCUAGCGGCGGACGGGUGAGUAACACGUGGGUAACCUGCCCAAGAGAUCGGGAUAACACCUGGAAACAGAUGCUAAUACCGGAUAACAACAGAUGAUGCCUAUCAACUGUUUAAAAGAUGGUUCUGCUAUCACUCUUGGAUGGACCUGCGGUGCAUUAGCUAGUUGGUAGGGUAACGGCCUACCAAGGCGAUGAUGCAUAGCCGAGUUGAGAGACUGAUCGGCCACAUUGGGACUGAGACACGGCCCAAACUCCUACGGGAGGCAGCAGUAGGGAAUCUUCCACAAUGGACGCAAGUCUGAUGGAGCAACGCCGCGUGAGUGAAGAAGGGUUUCGGCUCGUAAAGCUCUGUUGUUGGUGAAGAAGGACGGGGGUAGUAACUGACCUUUGUUUGACGGUAAUCAAUUAGAAAGUCACGGCUAACUACGUGCCAGCAGCCGCGGUAAUACGUAGGUGGCAAGCGUUGUCCGGAUUUAUUGGGCGUAAAGCGAGUGCAGGCGGUUCGAUAAGUCUGAUGUGAAAGCCUUCGGCUCAACCGGAGAAUUGCAUCAGAAACUGUCGAGCUUGAGUACAGAAGAGGAGAGUGGAACUCCAUGUGUAGCGGUGAAAUGCGUAGAUAUAUGGAAGAACACCGGUGGCGAAGGCGGCUCUCUGGUCUGUUACUGA